rnacentral:rRNA from 1 species
AUACGGAGGGUGCAAGCGUUACUCGGAAUCACUGGGCGUAAAGCGCGCGCAGGCGGUCUUUUAAGUUGGAUGUGAAAGCCUACGGCUCAACCGUAGAACUGCAUCCAAAACUAUUAGACUAGAGUGUGGGAGAGGAAGAUGGAAUUAGUUGUGUAGGGGUAAAAUCCGUAGAGAUAACUAGGAAUACCAAAAGCGGAGGCAAUCUUCUGGAACACUACUGACGCUGAGGCGCGAAAGCGUGGGAGCAAACAGGAUUAGAUACCCUAGUAGUCC